rnacentral:rRNA from 1 species
AUGCAACGCGAAGAACCUUACCACUUCUUGACAUGGAGAUUAGAUCCUUCUUAACAGAAGGGCGCAGUUCGGCUGGAUCUCGCACAGGUGCUGCAUGGCUGUCGUCAGCUCGUGUCGUGAGAUGUUGGGUUAAGUCCCGCAACGAGCGUAACCCUCAUCCUUAGUUGCCAGCGGGUUAAGCCGGGCACUUUAAGGAGACUGCCAGUGGUAAACUGGAGGAAGGUGGGGAUGAUGUCAAGUCAGCACGGCCCUUAUGGGGUGGGCUACACACGUGCUACAAUGGUGACUACAAUAGGUUGCAAUGUCGUAAGGCUGAGCUAAUCCGUAAAAGUCAUCUCAGUUCGGAUUGUCCUCUGCAACUCGAGGGCAUGAAGUCGGAAUCGCUAGUAAUCGUGGAUCAG